rnacentral:rRNA from 1 species
GACGAACGCUGGCGGCGUGCUUAACACAUGCAAGUCGAACGGAAAGGCCCUGCUUUUGUGGGGUGCUCGAGUGGCGAACGGGUGAGUAACACGUGAGUAACCUGCCCUUGACUUUGGGAUAACUUCAGGAAACUGGGGCUAAUACCGGAUAGGAGCUCCUGCUGCAUGGUGGGGGUUGGAAAGUUUCGGCGGUUGGGGAUGGACUCGCGGCUUAUCAGCUUGUUGGUGGGGUAGUGGCUUACCAAGGCUUUGACGGGUAGCCGGCCUGAGAGGGUGACCGGCCACAUUGGGACUGAGAUACGGCCCAGACUCCUACGGGAGGCAGCAGUGGGGAAUAUUGCACAAGGGGCGGAAGCCUGAUGCAGCAACGCCGCGUGCGGGAUGACGGCCUUCGGGUUGUAAACCGCUUUCGCCUGUGACGAAGCGUGAGGGACGGGAAUGGGUAAAGAAGCACCGGCUAACUACGU